UACGUAGGGUGCGAGCGUUGUCCGGAAUUAUUGGGCGUAAAGAGCUUGUAGGCGGUCUGUCGCGUCUGCUGUGAAAAUCCGGGGCUCAACCCCGGACUUGCAGUGGGUACGGGCAGACUAGAGUGUGGUAGGGGAGACUGGAAUUCCUGGUGUAGCGGUGAAAUGCGCAGAUAUCAGGAGGAACACCGAUGGCGAAGGCAGCUCGCUGGAACGGUACUGACGCUGAGGCGCGAAAGCGUGGGGAGCAAACAGG
rnacentral:rRNA from 1 species